UACGUAGGGUGCAAGCGUUAAUCGGAAUUACUGGGCGUAAAGCGUGCGCAGGCGGUGAUGUAAGACAGGUGUGAAAUCCCCGGGCUCAACCUGGGACUUGCAGUUGAAACUGGAAAGCUAGAGUAGGGUAGAGGGGUGUGGAAUUCCAGGUGUAGCGGUGAAAUGCGUAGAGAUCCGGAAGAACACCGGUGGCGAAGGCGGUCUGCUGGGCAGUUGCUGGACACUGAGGCGCGACAGCGUGGGGAGCAAACAGGG
rnacentral:rRNA from 1 species